GCUCCCGUAGCUCAAUGGUAGAGCAGCUGCCUUGUAAGCAGCUGGCUGUGGGUUCAAAUCCUACCGGGGGCUA
rnacentral:tRNA from 1 species